AGUGAAGCGGCAACAGCUCAAAUUUGAAAUCUGGCCCUUGUGGUCCGAGUUGUAAUUUGUAGAGGAUGCUUUUGGUGAGGUACCUUCCGAGUUCCCUGGAACGGGACGCCAUAGAGGGUGAGAGCCCCGUCUGGUUGGAUACCGAUCCUCUGUAAAGCUCCUUCGACGAGUCGAGUAGUUUGGGAAUGCUGCUCUAAAUGGGAGGUAUAUGUCUUCUAAAGCUAAAUAUUGGCCAGAGACCGAUAGCGCACAAGUAGAGUGAUCGAAAGAUGAAAAGCACUUUGAAAAGAGGGUUAAAUAGUACGUGAAAUUGUUGAAAGGGAAGCGCUUGUGACCAGACUUGGGCUUGGUUAAUCAUCCAGGGUUCUCCCUGGUGCACUUGGCCAGCCCAGGCCAGCAUCAGUUUGUCGCGGGGGAUAAAGGCGUUGGGAAUGUGGCUCCCCCGGGAGUGUUAUAGCCCUUCGUGUAAUACCCUGCUUUAGACUGAGGUUCGCGCAUCUGCAAGGAUGCUGGCGUAAUGGUCAUCAGCGACCCGUCUUGAAACACGGACCAAGGAGUCGUCUUCGUAUGCGAGUGUUCGGGUGUCAAACCCCUACGCGUAAUGAAAGUGAACGCAGGUGAGAGCUUCGGCGCAUCAUCGACCGAUCCUGAUGUUCUCGGAUGGAUUUGAGUAAGAGCAUACGGGGCCGGACCCGAAAGAAGGUGAACUAUGCCUGUGUAGGGUGAAGCCAGAGGAAACUCUGGUGGAGGCUCGCAGCGGUUCUGACGUGCAAAUCGAUCGUCAAAACAUGGGCAUGGGGGCGAAAGACUA
rnacentral:rRNA from 1 species